UCUUCUUCUUGGAGCCCUAGGUUGUGGCAAAACCCCCUAUUGCUAGCACUUGCAGGAAAGCUCAACCAAAACCAAAAGGUAUUUUUCUUUUUCUUCACUUCAACCAAGUCACUCAUGUACAAUGAGCAGCACUCAAACCACAAAAUCAUUUGCAUCUCAUUCAUUUUUCCGAAUGUUCAAUUUAUGACCUGGCUUUUUGGUCAUGGACAUUUCUUCAUUACUUACCAUUUUCUGAUGUUCAUGGUAAGGCGCGACCGUUGGUGGUUUUCUGGUGGUACCUCAAGGAGACCUUCUUCCCAGGUGACCCAUUCCACGUGGCGGUGCCGGUGUGUGAGCGAGCUGCCAGACCGCACGUGGCGGCGGCGCUUCGAUACUUCUUCCCGUUCCUGGAGUGGGCGCCAGCCUACGGGCUGGGCAACUCAAGUCGGACCUCAUCGCCGGUACUUCUUCUGGUUCCUUGAAGUUUGAUAUCCAUGCCCCCUUGUUAGAGCGGUGGAGAGAGAUGCGACAUGGAGUGAGGGAACUGUCGGCACCGGCAUAAGAGGUUGAUCUCCGCCCCGGUUUCCUCUAUGAUUACAUCAAGGAUGUAUUUUGUUGCUUGUUGGUUCUGUGUGCGGGAGCUCGAUGAUUGGGGGAGUUUAGAUCUGUGGUUUCAUUCUCAAAUUCUAUUCGUAUGGAUUGAGAUAGAGAUGAGAAGGUAGGUCCCUUAUUCAUGUAGGUUUUCUCUGUACCACUAAAUGUUUGUUUGAUUUUUUUCCAUGUAGGUUCUCUCUGAUUUUGCAUUAGUCUAUGAUCUUAGUCUUCAUUCUUUUAUUUUUAGUUUAUGAGAUUUCAGUAUUUGAUUCACUUAUUCUUGGUUUGGCAGAUAUUCAGUAUCUCUGUUCUUAUUAUUCAAUUUUUUUAUUUCUCAGAUUAGGAUUUUAGUACCUUUUCUUUUAUUAGUCAUCAGUUUUCUUCUUUAUUCAAUCAUAUUCAGCCUUAGUUCUUGUUCAGUCUUUCUUUAACUUCUUUUGUCCUUAGUCUCCAAUUUUCCUCUUUCUUCAGUCAUAUUCAGUCACACUUUGUUCAGUCUUUCAUUAUCUACUUCAGUCUGUAGUGCUCCUUGUGCAUAUAUACUUUGUUUUGCUCAUUCUUCUUUCUUAGCUUUGUUCUCUCAUUUUGUAUCGGCACAACCAAUAAUUCACAAGAUCAUCUAAUCCACAUAGGCAAAGGAAGAUUUUUCGUAGUAAAAUUCAGUAUAGUGGAGGGAAAGGAAGGUUUUUCGUUGUAAAAUUCACUACACUAGAGGGAAAAAGUUUCAAUGUUAUUAUCUAAUUGUUUCAUGGUUUUCUUAGUCAUGACUUUCUUUUCUCUACCAGCUUUAGGGGGAGGUCCAUCUAAUUUGACUUUGCCCUGGGCUGUCUGCAGGUGGGUUAAACAACCAGAUUUGGUGGAUUAGUUGGACUUGUAAAUAAUUUUUUCUGAUCCCAACACACUUUAUAUAGAGAAGUAGUAUUUCUUCAUAUUGUUACUUUUUUUGUUUGCUUUUGUGCUUAUUGCUCAUAUUGUUAAAUGUUUGUUGGGGCCAGUUCUUUUGGGCAAUUCUCCCAGAAUUGACCCCCUCCCCAGCUUCUCCCAGAAUUGCUACUCCAUCCUUUUUUACAAUUCCUAGCUAGUUAAGGUCUAAUUAGCUAGGAAUUGUAAAAAAAGAUGGAGUGGCAAUUCUGGGAGAAGCUGGGGAGGGGGUCAAUUCUGGGAGAAUUGCCCAAAAGAACUGGCCCUGACUCUUCUUUCUCUGGUCACCUUCAGUGCACAUGUUUCUUCAUUAUUUCAGUAACUACCUUCUCAUUGUUCCGCCUUCAUUUCUCAAAUCCAUGCUUAUCAGUUAUCCCUCUGUAUGCAUCAGUGAUCAAUAUUUCUCUUCAGCCUCAUUAUUUCUUUUCGAGAGUGCGCCAAAGGCUUACCUUAGCUUUAUAGAAGGAAGGAGUGAUAUUUACAAGUCAGCCUCAUUAUUUCAUUAAGUCCCUGCUCUACCCAGCCUUCAUAAAUUCAGUAUGCCCCUGUGCAUUAUGUAUAAAGACUUUUUUGAGCAUUCUUAUUUUUUAUCUUUUUGUUUCACCAGGAGGUUUUAUUACUAACCAGAGGAAGUUUCUUCUCCCACUUCGUUUUAGCGCAUGUUGUUUCAGAUGUGUUAUGUAAUAGUACUACAUAGAAGAGUUUUUUGCUUCAAGAAGUGUUAUGUAAUAGCAUAAAAACUACAUAAAUAGUUCGUUCUGUUCUGUUUUUUUUUCACUAGACAUUGAUGCUAUUUGUGCUCUUUAGCAGUGACACCAUAGUCAGUUAGCAUUUUCUGUCUUUUAGCUACACUGAGCCUUUGAUUUGUUUGUACCAUUAGGCUGUAGGGAAAUAUUACUAUAUGUAACAUGUAUUUUUUUUGUUCUUAUAAGAUGUUGUUUCUCAUUUCUGAAAUUUAUUUCUUGAUGCAGCUUCAUUCGGAUUUAUGUGAAUAUAAGCGUAAGAGGUCCACUGGGAAUGAUACAAAAUAAUUUCAGACGUGAGUAUCCGGAUCGCAUUGCUACUGGUCGUCUCUUGCGAUGGCGUACAGCGGGCUUUUGACAAAGCCAAGUCAUGGCCUCAUGAGGAUGCUUUUGGAUUAACUGUAGUGCAUUGUACCGUUUUAUGCUCCAUGCGAGAGUUGUACAUAUCCUCAUUAGAUGUACCCCUGCCUAUGAUGGUUCUGAACUCAAAUAUUAGAGUAUCUGUAUAUUUGAUCAAUGUGGUACUAUUAUAUCCUAAUGUUAUAACAUAUAUGCCCGUAUUGAUAUACAUGAGUGUGAUUAAGAACAAAACAUGGCAGCCCAAUGUGUUGAAACAAGAUAAGUGCGC
rnacentral:lncRNA from 1 species